rnacentral:rRNA from 1 species
UACGUAGGGUCCGAGCGUUGUCCGGAAUUACUGGGCGUAAAGAGCUCGUAGGUGGUUUGUCGCGUUGUUCGUGAAAACUCACAGCUCAACUGUGGGCGUGCGGGCGAUACGGGCAGACUAGAGUACUGCAGGGGAGACUGGAAUUCCCGGUGUAGCGGUGAAAUGUGUAGAGAUCGGCAGGAACACCCAGGGGGAAACCAGUCGACUGGGCAUCUACUGACGCUGAGGUGCGAGAGCGUGGGGAGCGAACCGG